GCCUCGAUGGUGGAACUGGUAGACACGCCGGCUUCAGGUGCCGGUGCCCCGUGAGGGCGUGCAGGUUCGAUCCCUGUUCGAGGUA
rnacentral:tRNA from 1 species